AAAAGCAAAUAUCACAAAAAAGUAAAGUCAGACAAAUAUUUUGGUUUCCCAGUGCAUAUAAAACUUAUGUUUCUGCUGAGACCGUGUCCACCCUGCGAGCACAGAGCCUUGCCCUCGCCUCUCUGCCACCCGUCCACACCCGCCGCCAGCUCACCAUGGAUGAUGAUAUCACCAUGCUUGUCGUUGACAACGGUGCUGGCAUGUGCAAGGCCAGCUUUGCAGGUGACGAUGCCCACCCCGGGCCGUCUUCCCCUCCAUCGUGGGGCACCCCAGGCACCAGGGCGUGAUGGUGGGCAUGGGUCAGAAGGACUCCUAUGUGGGCGACGAGGCCCAGAGCAAAAGAGGCAUCCUGACCCUGAAGUACCCCAUCAAGCAGGACAUUGUCACCACUUGGGACGACAUGGAGAAGAUCUGGCACCACACCUUCUACAACGAGCUGUGUGUGGCUGCCAAGGAGCACCCCAUGCUGCUGACCAAGGCCCCCCUGAGCCUCAAGGCCAACCACAAGAAGAUGACCCAGAUCAUUUUUGAGAUCUUUGACAGGCCAGCCAUGUACAUGGCCAUCCAGGCCGUGCUGCCCCUGUACACCUCUGGCCGUACCACUGACAUCGUGAUGGACUAUGGUGACGGGGUCACCCACACUGUGCCCAUCUAUGAGGAGUAUGCCCUCCCCUACGCCAUCUUGCAUGUGGACCUGGCUGGCCAGGACCUGACUGACUACCUCAUAAAGAUCCUCACCUAGCGCAGCUACAUCUUCACCGCCACAGCCAAGCGGGAAAUUGUGCAUGACAUCAAGGAGAAGCUGUGCUACAUCACCCUGGACUUCAAGCAGGAGAUGGCCAUGGUGGCCUCCAGCUCCUCCCUGGAGAUAGCUACAAGCUGCCUGACGGCCAGGUCAUCACCAUCGGCAACAAGCAGUUCCACUGCCCUGAGGCGCUCUUCUAGCCUUCCUUCCUAUGCAUGGAAUCCCGUGGCAUCCAUGAAACUACCUGCAACUCCAUCAUGAAGUGUGAUGUGGACAUCCUCAAAGACCUGUAUGCCAACACAGUGCUGUCUAGCGGCACUACCACAUACCCUGGCAUCGCUGAUAGGAUGCAGAAGAUCACCACCCUGGCGCCCAGCACAAUGAAGAUCAAGAUCAUUGCUCCUCCCAAGCGCAAGUACUCCGUGUGGAUCGGCAGCUCCAUCCUGGCCCGGCUGUCCACUGUCCAGCAGAUGUGGAUCAGCAAGCAGGAAUACGAUGAGUCAGGCACCUCCAUCAUCCACAGCAAAUGCUUCUGGGCGCACUGUGACUUAGUUGCAUUACACCCUUUCUUGACAAAACCUAACUUGUGUAGAAAACAAGAUGAGAUUGGCAUGACUUUGUUUUUUUAUUUUGUUUUGUUUUGUUUGGCUUGACUCAGGAUUUAAAAACUGGAAUGGUGAAGGUGACAGCAGUUGGUUGGAGUGAGCAUCCUCCAAAGUUCUACAG